AACGAACGCUGGCGGCAUGCCUAACACAUGCCAGUCGAACGAUGCUUUCGGGCAUAGUGGCGCACGGGUGCGUAACGCGUGGGAAUCUGCCCUGGGGUUCGGGAUAACAGCGGGAAACUGCUGCUAAUACCGGAUGAUAUCGCGAGAUCAAAGAUGUAUCGCCCUGGGAUGAGCCCGCGUCGGAUUAGGUAGUUGGUGGGGUAAGAGCCAACCAAGCCGACGAUCCGUAGCUGGUCUGAGAGGAUGAUCAGCCACACUGGCGCUGAGACACGGCCCAGACUCCUAGGGAAGGGAGGAGUGGGGAAUAUUGGACGAUGGGCGCAAGCCUGAUACAGCAAUGCCGGGUGAGUGAUGCAGGCCUUAGGGUUGUAAAGCUCUUUGACCCGGGAUGAGAAUGACAGUACCGGGAGAAUAAGCCCCGGCUAACUCCGUG
rnacentral:rRNA from 1 species